UCAAGUUGGUUGGUACCCUAGAUGUUGACAUUUUUUCUCUCUAUAAACUUGGUCAAACUUAGCAGAAACUGACUUGGUCGCCUUAUAUUAUGAUGAGGAGCGAGUAUUAUGGAUUCGUGUUACUAAUUCAUUCAUGCUCGCUUGAUUUUGAGGUUUCAGCCAGACUUACAUGCUACUACUCCAACCAGAAGCGGCUAAUCUGCUAUCGUUUUUCUCUUCAACGUUUGCAGGUACAGCAACACUACAUUCUAGACCUGCUCGAUACAGCCUUUGCAAGCACAGCAGGUACCUCAAGAGCCUUUCUUGUUUGAUGGAAAGUGCAAACAAAGGAGGGUUUCGCCUUUUCAGGUGCCUCAAGUGUUUUGACAUUCUACGACAGCCUCGAAAUGUUUCACUCUACUACUCCGGUGGAUGUAACAUCGCCAUUAGAGCUAAAAUCAAUGUCAAGGGCGGACCCAGAAAUUACUUACAGCUUCUCAUCCUCCCUUACGUUACCUUAAGUUCUUUAUGUAUCAGCUUCAUUUCAUUUCUAACGAAGAUUAUAAGCUGGACUUCUAGACCUAGCCACCGGGGUGCAGAUUUGCCACUGAGCAAUGGGGUGUCUCCCCAAACCAAGGAACUGGAUUCCAUGGGUGUUGCCGCUAAUGAUUCUUGCACUACUCUGGGUGCUCCAAGCUUUGAGAGCAAUGGCACGGGUAGAAACGAGAAUGAGAAUGUUAUGAUAGCUGAAAAAAAUGUCAUGGUGGUUUCACAUACCGAGAGCAAUGAAGAUGACAAUUCUGAUGGCAGGAGCACCAUUGGAGAAAUGGGAGAUCUGAACAGUGCAACUGUGGCGCCAAGGGUUUUACCCUUCCAUUUAUUGGAAAAUAUUACAAAUGGUUUCUCUGAGGACCGGAAACUUGGUGCGGGUUCGUAUGGAAAUGUUUACAUGGGAGAACAUGAAGACGGGGAAAGAAUUGCUGUGAAGGUGCUUCAUUACACUCCAGGACUUGAUGAGCAAUUUGAGAAGGAGUAUCUCAACCAUGCAAGCCUCCAACACAAAAAUAUUGUGCGCUUAGUUGGCUAUUCUCAUGAAACUCAUUGUGUAUACCAACCAUAUAAUGGGAAAAUGGUUUUCGCGGAGAUGAGAAAAAGGGCGCUUUGCUUUGAAUAUAUGACUAAUGGAAGCCUUGACAAAUUUCUUUCUGAUGAAUCUAGUGGACACGAUUGGUGCACACGCUAUGCAAUAAUUAAGGGGAUCUGUGAGGGUAUGCAAUACCUGCAUGAGGAAUUGGGUUCCCCUUUAUAUCAUUUGGAUUUAAAACCAAGCAAUGUAUUGUUGGAUGAGAACAUGGUUCCAAAAAUAGCAGAUUUCGGCUUGUCAAGGCUCGGAGGAGAACACACACAAAUGACAAAAAAUGCUAUGGGAACACCGUAAGCUAAUUAAUUUCCCACGCGAAUAAAAUAUUUUUAAAUAUUUUAACAAAUUCUAUAUAUUUGCAUUGGACCAAUGUUAUUGGUAACAUGUAUGAUGUGCCAUGCAGUGGGUACUUACCGCCAGAGUACAUAGAUGCAGGUGUAAUCUCAAUUAAGUUUGACAUAUUCAGUUUGGGUGUUGUAAUCAUAAAGAUAAUGACCGGACCAACAGGUUACUUCAGGAUUGCUGAAAUGUCUCCCAAAGAAUUCGCCGAGCUUGUACAUGUGAAUUGGAAGAAUAUGCUACAAGCAAAAUCAUUGUAUGAGCCAUAUUCCGAACAAGCAAAGCAAUGCAUCGAAAUAGCUUUACGCUGUGUGGAUGCUGAUAGACACAAGAGACCGAGCAUAGGGGUAAUCAUCGAUAAGCUAAAUGAGAUGGAGACUGUGCUACAACUUCUUGAGGCGUCAAGGAAUGACACAGGGUCAUACGAGGUGUGAUCACUAAUUACACAAUUGCUUAUGUUGUUUUUCUUGUUUUCCUACUAAACGUACAUGCAUGUGUGUAUAUGUAGAGAGCAUGACUAAUCAAUAUCAAGGAUAGAAUGGUUCACUUCGUACAUACACAUCACACUCGUUUUGUUCUUGAGGAAUAAUCACAUUUAAUGCCCAGUUUAUUAAAUCAUACUAUGGUAACCAAUUUGAAUUUUAGUAUUACUCCUCCAGAUUGUAAAUGAUUUUAACAUAUGGAUGCCUUUAUGGCAACACAUGACUAUAUCAAAUGUUGUGGAGUAGAAGUAUCAAUAGAGUAGGGUAAUGCAAAACUAGGUAUGUGUAGCGGGUACAGUGGUAAUCAUGAAAAUACCGAGUCCAUAGCUUGUAGUUUAUUUUAAUAAUACCAUUCAUAUUUUUAUGUAUGUAUGCAUGCACGUACAUCCAUAUACGUAUUUUAACUCCGUAUAUACGGGCUGUUUGUUUUA